GAUGAACGCUGGCGGCGUGCUUAACACAUGCAAGUCGAACGGAAAGGCCCAAGCUUGCUUGGUACUCGAGUGGCGAACGGGUGAGUAACACGUGGGUGAUCUGCCCUGCACUUCGGGAUAAGCCUGGGAAACUGGGUCUAAUACUGGAUAGGACCACUUCUUGGAUGGUGUGGUGGAAAGUUGUUUCGGUGUGGGAUGAGCUCGCGGCCUAUCAGCUUGUUGGUGGGGUAAUGGCCUACCAAGGCGUCGACGGGUAGUCGGCCUGAGAGGGUGUACGGCCACAUUGGGACUGAGAUACGGCACAGACGCCUACGGGAGGCAGCAGGGGGGAAUAUUGAACAAUGGGCGCAAGCCUGAUGCAGCGACGCGGCGUGGGGGAUGACGGCCUUCGGGUUGUAAACUCCUUUCGCUAGGGACGAAGCGUUUUUGUGACGGUACCUGGAGAAGAAGCACCGGCUAACUACGUG
rnacentral:rRNA from 1 species